UAUUGAUGUAUGUUCAGAUAUUCAUACAAUAAAAUAUUCUGGGGGCCAUGAAAAUUGAAUGCUCAAAGAUGCUGACAGUGGAUGAUGGAUUCAGAUGUAACUUUCAGUAAAAAUUAACAAACACAAUCUUUUUAUGUAAAAACGCAAUAAUGUAACAUAUUUUUUUAUUUUAACUUUCAACAACACUAUUCGUAAACUGUAAUGGAGUAAUUGUCAUUGUAAGGUAUGUAUACUUUUACUUAAGUAUGGUUUUCAGGUAUUCUUCACACCUGUGGUUUACAGUUUUGAAGUGUUGUGGGUACUUGAUAGCGUGGCUUCCAAAACUGUGCAGUAACUUCAGGAUGUGUACAGCACAGACAUGGCAUUUUACUCAAGCUCAAGCUGCCGCAUGAUGAAUCACAGUGCUACAUACUGCAGCACAUGAGCAAAAACAAAACUCGCUGAGAUCAACUCACAGUGGUGGGUUACCAAAUAAGUACACACCCACAACUGCUCCUCAAGGAAUGUGGCGAAGUACAGUAGCCUCAGAGUGCUCUGACUCUGAUCUCUAGCCUAAAUAGACAAUCCUUUUCCCUUUUUUUCAUUCUUAUUCAUCCUGUAUGUGUGCGUGGCAGGUUGACCUGAGGGAGUGAGGGAAGGAGAAAGAGAGGGAGGGAAGCAAGCAACAAUUUGUGUUCAUAUCUCUCCUCCAUCUUCACAUCAAGGACACUGCAUGCCGUUGCUGAUGCUGCCGUCACCAUGGAGACUAGCGCUAGUUGCCUUGGGCACCAUAGGGAUUGCAGGAAUCUUCUCAGGGAUGGUUUGCACCUUGCAUCAGCACACAUUCCUCAGUCCUGCAUGCCACCCCCCGAAACAAUAACUCAACCAAAUUAGCAUAUCAAGAGAGCGGUGUGGAGCCCGGAAAUUUGGGUCAUGUUUCAUGGGACCGUGCACAUUCUGUGGUUUUCCCAGUCCCACCUUUUGUGCUCACAUUUCUUGUCCUCAAAAGCCAGAUUAAAUCGAGAUUGCUUUGAUUAACACACAGAACGCUUUGGCUUAUGUUUGUACGCUGUAGUAAUGUGAGUUUGAGGAAAUGUUCCCAUGGACAUAGAGGCUAAAAAUAUCAGUCAUCGGUUCACUGGCUAGAUUUCCUCUCAUUAGCUCAUUUAGACAGCUAAUGUCCUAUUUGCAUUAGGCUUAUUUUUCUCAGCUGAUGUUCCCCUGGCAGGUGCCAGAGGAGAUAAUUGCAUCUCUAUCAGUCUCUGUCAAAUAAGCAACGACUAAUGUCAUCUAAAAAUCUGAAGGAGUCAGAAUAGACCAAAGUUUAAGGAGUAGUUCACCCACAAAUGAAAAUUUACUCAUCCAAG
rnacentral:lncRNA from 1 species